rnacentral:rRNA from 1 species
AGAGUUUGAUCCUGGCUCAGAAUCAACGCUGGCGGCGUGCCUAACACAUGCAAGUCGAACGAGAAAGUGGAGCAAUCCAUGAGUAGAGUGGCGUACGGGUGAGUAACACGUGACUAACCUUCCUUCGAGUGGGGAAUAACCUCGGGAAACCAGGGCUAAUACCGCAUAACAUCUCCGGGUGAAACUCCCGUUGAUCAAAGGGGUAAGACGCUUGAAGAGGGGGUCGCGGCUGAUUAGUUAGUUGGCGGGGUAAUGGCCCACCAAGACGAUGAUCAGUAUCCGGCCUGAGAGGGCGCACGGACACACUGGAACUGAAACACGGUCCAGACUCCUACGGGAGGCAGCAGUGGGGAAUUUUGCGCAAUGGGGGAAACCCUGACGCAGCAACGCCGCGUGGAGGAUUAAGUCCCUUGGGAUGUAAACUCCUUUCGACAGGGAAGAAACUGACGGUACCUGUAGAAGAAGCCCCGGCUAACUUCGUGCCAGCAGCCGCGGUAAUACGAGGGGGGCAAGCGUUGUUCGGAAUUAUUGGGCGUAAAGGGUGCGUAGGCUGUGCGGUAAGUCACCUGUGAAAUCUCCGAGCUCAACUCGGAGCCUGCAGGCGAAACUGCCGUGCUGGAGUAUGGGAGAGGUGCGUGGAAUUCCCGGUGUAGCGGUGAAAUGCGUAGAUAUCGGGAGGAACACCUGUGGCGAAAGCGGCGCACUGGACCAUUACUGACGCUGAUGCACGAAAGCUAGGGGAGCAAACAGGAUUAGAUACCCUAGUAGUCC